UGGGGAAUCUUCGGCAAUGGGCGAAAGCCUGACCGAGCCAUGCCGCGUGAGUGAUGAAGGCCUUAGGGUUGUAAAGCUCUUUCAGCGGGGAAGAUAAUGACGGUACCCGCAGAAGAAGCCCCGGCUAACUCCGUGCCAGCAGCCGCGGUAAUACGGAGGGGGCUAGCGUUGUUCGGAAUUACUGGGCGUAAAGCGCGCGUAGGCGGACUGAUCAGUCGGGGGUGAAAGCCCGGGGCUCAACCCCGGAACUGCCUUCGAUACUGUCAGUCUCGAGUCCGGAAGAGGUGAGUGGAAUUCCCAGUGGAGAGGUGAAAUUCGUAGAUAUUGGGAAGAACACCAGUGGCGAAGGCGGCUCACUGGUCCGGUACUGACGCUGAGGUGCGAAAGCGUGGGGAGCAAACAGGAUUAGAUACCCCCGUAGUCC
rnacentral:rRNA from 1 species